rnacentral:rRNA from 1 species
UACGAAGGGGGCUAGCGUUGCUCGGAAUCACUGGGCGUAAAGCGCACGUCGGCGGAUUUCUCAGUCAGGGGUGAAAUCCUGGAGCUCAACUCCAGAACUGCCUUUGAUACUGGGAAUCUCGAGUCCGGGAGAGGUGAGUGGAAUUGCGAGUGUAGAGGUGAAAUUCGUAGAUAUUCGCAAGAACACCAGUGGCGAAGGCGGCUCACUGGCCCGGUACUGACGCUGAGGUGCGAAAGCGUGGGGAGCAAACAGG